CAGAUGGUAUCUUGAAGGGGGGGGGAGGUGGUUGAUGUAGGCACGGUGAUGAAGACGGGGGAGAUGGUGCGCGUCUCUGUGGGCGUUGUUGAGGGGCGGGGUUAAAGGACAUGCUGCCAACCCUGCGUAUUGCCUUAAUGCGGUCAUUGAACUCCAGGAAGGAAUUGGUGCCAUCCUGUAUCUCCUUCAUGUGUUCAGCAAUCUCCAGGAGGGUGGGCGAGGGUACACUUAACUAACAUGUUUUGUAGCCUGACCUUCCUCUUUCUGUAUGCUGUACCAUGUGAGCUAUGUACCAUACGUAAAGGAGGCCCACUGUGCCCCCGACCCGGCCACCCAGGACGGUGGAGAUCAUGGAGUACACUCCUCCACCGCCAACACCGCAGUGCUCACACACUCCGAUCCCCGACAUCACCGUCACUAAGGCAAACAGCACGACCAAGGAGACCAGGAACAUCCCGAGCAUCACGCCUGUGUUCCCCUGGAUGAUGAUGAUGGAGACAAGAUGACACAAAAUACUAUCCCAUGUGAAAGUGUUGCACAUCUGCAGCAUGUAACUCAUCAACAGCUUUAAAAACAAAAUAUUUGUACACAAAAAAUCAUAUAGUCUUUUACUUUCAAAUAUAUUUGUAUUUGGGUCUAAAAACCAAUGAAUGAGCAACGCAAUCAAGGGAAUCUUAUCCUUAAAACUCUGGAUAAGUAUUACUUUUUUUAAAACAUACAGUUAAUUGCAUAUUUAUCUUUGCAGGUACAGAAUGAGUAAGACCAGCACUGCAAUUCAUGAUAAAUCUUCUGGGGGAUCCAAAAAAAACGUAAUCUGCAGCUUUAAAUUAAAAUAUUUUAUAUUUAUUUUAUAAUAAAGAACCAAAGCACACUUUGUAAAUAAUUCAAGCAUGCUUGUAUCAUAUUCUCAAAUAUUUAUUCUGUUAAUGUCUCUGCACAUUUUUCUCAUUAACCAAAAUAAUUAGUCAAUCUUUUGCUUCUAAUGUAACGCUCCUGUGUUCAAGCUGUAGGUAAAUGUGUGCAAAAAUCGAUAUGUCUUAUCUAGGAGAAACUGGAAAGAAAAUUGUUACCCGCAUGAUAUUUGCUUUAAACUCUCUCACACUAUUAUUUGCAGAGUUAAAAACAUAUGGUUAGAUUUCUGCUUUAGUAUAAUGGAAAACUAAGGAUGAUAAAUUAUGUUCAUGUUUGGAAGACAUUCUGGUGACACACACUUCACUUUCGCACAAUAAGUAGUGAAAGAAGCAAGUAAUUUAUGAGGAGAUUCCUCUCACUCACACUCAAGUUACUGUUUUUCUCACAUGGCAAACUAUGUUUAAGCUGUCAAGUGUAACUCAAAUGAAUGUAGUAAUUAAGAUCAUAGAGUCUCUGUGCUGAAUCCGGAGAUGACACAUGCACAUUAAAGUGUUUGGGAUCAUCUGAUGCAGUGACACAUACUUAAUGAUGGUUGCAGCUAAAAACUCAAAUCAAACAGCCUUAACAGAGCUAGAAAGAUAAAUGUAAAGUAGAGCCAAGCCCAAGCUUGAGUCUACAGAUUAUAAAAGGGAAAAUAUAAAAAUAAUCGGUCUUCCAAUAGCCACACAUAGUUGAUUUCUAAUUAGAAAAGUCACUAUUUAUUUGCUCUUCGAAAGCACCUGAUUGCACCAGUUGUGUACACUAUAUAUGCACUCCCAAAUGCAUUUCAAUAUAAUAAUAUUGAAAGGGAAUUCCUUUAGGGAAGACCAUAAAAAAAAGCUUACUGAAGGGUUCAAUCUUUGGGCAGAUUCUUUAUUGUUUUCAAAAGAUAAAAGUAAAAGAAGGAAUUUGGAGGUGGGGGGUUGCUCCAAUGGACAACACUCCCAACAUAUUACCGAUUCAUACUUAAAGAAGGUAAUCUCUUUUACAUUAAGCUGAGGGCAAACUUCAUCACUAGAUGCAGCUCUAAGAGAACAAUAACAUUCAGCAUACAUUCACAAAAUGUAAGGAUUAUGGUUAAGAUAUAAUUUAAUGGAAAUUGUUAUUUUUUGUAAUUUUGUCUCUUCAAUAAACAAAUGUGUUGCUUUUCUGUUGAUUAAUAAACAAGAAAAAUGUGA